CUAUUUAUAGUGUUCUAUAUUGUGGACCAAGAUGGGCAUAAACUGCAUCAUAGCGAAGUCAUCGAUCGCACUCAGCAAGUAAGACUAUGAAUCCGAUUCUCAUUCUUUUUAUUAUUAACUCUUUAUUAGGUUUUAUAAAUGUGUUACUAUUUUUAUAGCUCUUAGUUUAGUUCUCCAAAGAUCAAGCUCUAGAUAAAGAUGACCCAUGACCCGACCUGACCCAUAUCCAUUAGUGGGUAGGAGUGCAAAUGGGUAGGGUCGACCCAUGACCCGACCCGCAUAGAUUCGAUUCAAACCAUUUUGAAGGACAUAUGAAGCCAGAUCGGAUUCUAAAAUUAGAUUUAUUCUAUUUUCUAG
rnacentral:lncRNA from 1 species